rnacentral:lncRNA from 1 species
AUAGUUUCUUUCCUGGCCAUUUGCGAAUGCGGCUUUCACAAAUUCCUUUGUUUUUAGAAACCAUUGUUUCGUCAUCUCUUUGUGACUAGGGUGACCGGUAUACAACCACGCACGAUCACUCAUCUUGCGUAGCUACUAAAGACAGAAGAAAUAUAUUUAUAUAUAAUUUAGCAUUUAUAUUCAUCGGUGAAUCAGGUUCGCCAUUUUUAUUACGUCCAGGCAACCUACACGCUAAUAGGUAAAGAUAG